UUUCACUGUAAGGUCUACACCUGUUGUAUUCGGCGCAUGUGACAAAUAAACUUUGAUUUGAUUUGAAUUAUUUUGCCACAUUAUUUUCUGUUUUAAAACAGAACGGGUGGAUCUCUCCAUCCACAGCUGCGCAUUGAUAGACUACCGGUCAUCAGUGUGGAAGAGGCAGUGCAUGACUCCAUCCUUUCGGAAGACUCUUCUAUCCACAGACACACCUCCAUCCACAGAUGCACCUCCAUCCACAGACACGCGUGACCUACAUCAAGUGAUUUACGAGGAUGAGAUCAUUAGCAAGCAGAGUGAGACCGAGAGAAACUCUGUCAUCAUGGAGAAAAAGGUGUUCAUUAGGACCAUGGAUCAGCUGAUUAUGGAGAUCCCACUAAAAGAAAUCUGCACAUAUGUUCAGAUUUCUGCUCUAAUGAACCUAGGGAAAGGAAAAUAUGAAGACAGAGGAAUACAGCACAUAGCGGCAUAGAGCCAAGAACGUGGCCAAGAAAAUCCAUGCAGUAUGAAAUGAUAGAUUUUACAGUAUAUAUAUAUAUUUUUUUACUUUUAUGACGUGAAGAUGUUGAUCCAGUGUUGGAAUUGUUAUCAUAUCUAGACAGCACAGAUUAAAGGCCAGACAGAACUCAUCCUGUGGACAAAGGAGUUUGUCAACCACAGAUUAAAGGCCAGGCAGAACUCAUCCUGUGGACGAAGGAGGUUGUCAACUACAGAUUAAAGGUCAGGCAGAACUCAUCCUGUGGACAAAGGAGGUUGUCAACCACAGAUUAAAGGCCAGGCAGAACUCAUCCUGUGGACAAAGGAGGUUGUCAACCACAGAUUAAAGGCCAGGCAGAACUCAUCCUGUGAAUGAAGGAGGUUGUCUACCACAGAUUAAAGGUCAGGCAAAACUCAUCCUGUGGAUGAAGGAGGUUGUCAACCACUUUUGGUGGUGCUGUAAAAGGGCGGACACAUACGAGGAGUUUAUUGUAAUUUAUAUUGUCUUAUUUAUUACUGUCAUGUAUGUGUUAUGUUUGAGUGGUGACAUACUUACUGUAUUGUGCUUAGCUGUGAGCUAGCACUUGUCACUACAUUUCUGAAAUCAUAACUGCAAUCGGCAAAGUGGAGAAUGAGAAAUAUUUUUUUUAAAUGCAUGCAUUGCGGUUUUUAUGCUUCAGGACCUGUGGAGAGGUAUUAUUCACCAUGUGGUGAAUGAGCACAUAUGGACACAGGGACAUUGUGAACAUGACUUCCUGGGGGACAACCACACCAAGGAAUGGAUCAAAAGGGCUCUCCAGCACAUCAGGCUCUCACAGACAUCGUCCUCAACACAAGGUGGCUGAAGGAUCUUCAGCUGGGUUACAUUUUUUCUCAAGAAUCCUUCCCCAUAUUUAGCAAUUGGUUACAUGUAAUGGUCCAUUAUGCAUUACUGUCCUCGGGGACCACCAGAAAAGUUAUGAAACAUAUUGGCCUAUUAGUCACAGAGGAGAGGGUUAAGAAACCCUACAUUAGGGUUAUGUUUGACAUGCAUACAGCCAAAGGAGGAUUACAAUUUAGUUUAUUUCAUGACGGAUUCA